rnacentral:rRNA from 1 species
GGUUAAGCGACUAAGCGUACACGGUGGAUGCCCUGGCAGUCAGAGGCGAUGAAGGACGUGCUAAUCUGCGAAAAGCGUCGGUAAGGUGAUAUGAACCGUUACAGCCGGCGAUGUCCGAAUGGGGAAACCCAGUGCAAUUCGUUGCACUAUCGUUAACUGAAUACAUAGGUUAACGAGGCGAACCGGGGGAACUGAAACAUCUAAGUACCCCGAGGAAAAGAAAUCAACCGAGAUUCCCCCAGUAGCGGCGAGCGAACGGGGAGCAGCCCGGAGUCUGAAUCAGCUUGUGUGUUAGUGGAAGCGUCUGGAAAGUCGCAGGGUACAGGGUGAUACUCCCGUACACUAAAACACACAGGCUGUGAACUCGAAGAGUAGGGCGGGACACGUGGUAUCCUGUCUGAAUAUGGGGGGACCAUCCUCCAAGGCUAAAUACUCCUGACUGACCGAUAGUGAACCAGUACCGUGAGGGAAAGGCGAAAAGAACCCCGGCGAGGGGAGUGAAAAAGAACCUGAAACCGUGUACGUACAAGCAGUAGGAGCCCACUAGUUGGGUGACUGCGUACCUUUUGUAUAAUGGGUCAGCGACUUAUAUUCUGUAGCAAGGUUAACCGUAUAGGGGAGCCGCAGGGAAACCGAGUCUUAACUGGGCGUUAAGUUGCAGGGUAUAGACCCGAAACCCGGUGAUCUAGCCAUGGGCAGGUUGAAGGUUGGGUAACACUAACUGGAGGACCGAACCGACUAAUGUUGAAAAAUUAGCGGAUGACUUGUGGCUGGGGGUGAAAGGCCAAUCAAACCGGGAGAUAGCUGGUUCUCCCCGAAAGCUAUUUAGGUAGCGCCUCGUGAAUUCAUCUUCGGGGGUAGAGCACUGUUUCGGCUAGGGGGUCAUCCCGACUUACCAACCCGAUGCAAACUACGAAUACCGAAGAAUGUUAUCACGGGAGACACACGGCGGGUGCUAACGUCCGUCGUGAAGAGGGAAACAACCCAGACCGCCAGCUAAGGUCCCAAAGUCAUGGUUAAGUGGGAAACGAUGUGGGAAGGCCCAGACAGCCAGGAUGUUGGCUUAGAAGCAGCCAUCAUUUAAAGAAAGCGUAAUAGCUCACUGGUCGAGUCGGCCUGCGCGGAAGAUGUAACGGGGCUAAACCAUGCACCGAAGCUGCGGCAGCGACACUAUGUGUUGUUGGGUAGGGGAGCGUUCUGUAAGCCGUUGAAGGUGGCCUGUGAGGGUUGCUGGAGGUAUCAGAAGUGCGAAUGCUGACAUAAGUAACGAUAAUGCGGGUGAAAAACCCGCACGCCGGAAGACCAAGGGUUCCUGUCCAACGUUAAUCGGGGCAGGGUGAGUCGACCCCUAAGGCGAGGCCGAAAGGCGUAGUCGAUGGGAAACAGGUUAAUAUUCCUGUACUUGGUGUUACUGCGAAGGGGGGACGGAGAAGGCUAUGUUGGCCGGGCGACGGUUGUCCCGGUUUAAGCAUGUAGGCGGAUGUUCCAGGUAAAUCCGGAACGUCACUAACGCUGAGGUGUGAUGACGAGGCACUACGGUGCUGAAGUGACAAAUGCCCUGCUUCCAGGAAAAGCCUCUAAGCAUCAGGUAACAUCAAAUCGUACCCCAAACCGACACAGGUGGUCAGGUAGAGAAUACCAAGGCGCUUGAGAGAACUCGGGUGAAGGAACUAGGCAAAAUGGUGCCGUAACUUCGGGAGAAGGCACGCUGAUGGUAGGUGAAGUGACUUGCUCACGGAGCUGAAAUCAGUCGAAGAUACCAGCUGGCUGCAACUGUUUAUUAAAAACACAGCACUGUGCAAACACGAAAGUGGACGUAUACGGUGUGACGCCUGCCCGGUGCCGGAAGGUUAAUUGAUGGGGUUAUCCGUAAGGAGAAGCUCUUGAUCGAAGCCCCGGUAAACGGCGGCCGUAACUAUAACGGUCCUAAGGUAGCGAAAUUCCUUGUCGGGUAAGUUCCGACCUGCACGAAUGGCGUAAUGAUGGCCAGGCUGUCUCCACCCGAGACUCAGUGAAAUUGAACUCGCUGUGAAGAUGCAGUGUACCCGCGGCAAGACGGAAAGACCCCGUGAACCUUUACUAUAGCUUGACACUGAACACUGGUCCUUGAUGUGUAGGAUAGGUGGGAGGCUUUGAAGUGUGGACGCCAGUCUGCAUGGAGCCAUCCUUGAAAUACCACCCUUUAAUGGCUGGUGUUCUAACGUGGGCCCGUGAUCCGGGUUGCGGACAGUGUCUGGUGGGUAGUUUGACUGGGGCGGUCUCCUCCUAAAGAGUAACGGAGGAGCACGAAGGUCAGCUAAUCCUGGUCGGACAUCAGGAGGUUAGUGCAAUGGCAUAAGCUGGCUUGACUGCGAGCGUGACGGCGCGAGCAGGUGCGAAAGCAGGUCAUAGUGAUCCGGUGGUUCUGAAUGGAAGGGCCAUCGCUCAACGGAUAAAAGGUACUCCGGGGAUAACAGGCUGAUACCGCCCAAGAGUUCAUAUCGACGGCGGUGUUUGGCACCUCGAUGUCGGCUCAUCACAUCCUGGGGCUGAAGUAGGUCCCAAGGGUAUGGCUGUUCGCCAUUUAAAGUGGUACGCGAGCUGGGUUUAGAACGUCGUGAGACAGUUCGGUCCCUAUCUGCCGUGGGCGCUGGAGAAUUGAGGGGGGCUGCUCCUAGUACGAGAGGACCGGAGUGGACGCAUCACUGGUGUUCGGGUUGUCAUGCCAAUGGCAUUGCCCGGUAGCUAAAUGCGGAAGAGAUAAGUGCUGAAAGCAUCUAAGCACGAAACUUGCCCCGAGAUGAGUUCUCCCUGACCCUUUAAGGGUCCUGAAGGAACGUUGAAGACGACGACGUUGAUAGGCCGGGUGUGUAAGCGCAGCGAUGCGUUGAGCUAACCGGUACUAAUGAACCGUGAGGCUUAACCUU